UACGUAGGGUCCGAGCGUUGUCCGGAAUUAUUGGGCGUAAAGAGCUCGUAGGCGGUUUGUCGCGUCUGCUGUGAAAUCCCGAGGCUCAACCUCGGGCCUGCAGUGGGUACGGGCAGACUGGAGUGCGGUAGGGGAGAAUGGAAUUCCUGGUGUAGCGGUGGAAUGCGCAGAUAUCAGGAGGAACACCGAUGGCGAAGGCAGUUCUCUGGGCCGUAACUGACGCUGAGGAGCGAAAGCGUGGGGGGCGAACAGG
rnacentral:rRNA from 1 species